GAUGAACGCUGGCGGCGUGCUUAACACAUGCAAGUCGAGCGAAGCGCUUUGGAAAGAUUCUUCGGAUGAUUUCCUUUGUGACUGAGCGGCGGACGGGUGAGUAACGCGUGGGUAACCUGCCUCAUACAGGGGGAUAACAGUUAGAAAUGACUGCUAAUACCGCAUAAGACCACGGUACCGCAUGGUACAGUGGUAAAAACUCCGGUGGUAUGAGAUGGACCCGCGUCUGAUUAGGUAGUUGGUGGGGUAACGGCCUACCAAGCCGACGAUCAGUAGCCGACCUGAGAGGGUGACCGGCCACAUUGGGACUGAGACACGGCCCAGACUCCUACGGGAGGCAGCAGUGGGGAAUAUUGCACAAUGGAGGAAACUCUGAUGCAGCGACGCCGCGUGAAGGAUGAAGUAUUUCGGUAUGUAAACUUCUAUCAGCAGGGAAGAAAAUGACGGUACCUGACUAAGAAGCCCCGGCUAACUACGUGCCAGCAGCCGCGGUAAUACGUAGGGGGCAAGCGUUAUCCGGAUUUACUGGGUGUAAAGGGAGCGUAGACGGCACGGCAAGCCAGAUGUGAAAGCCCGGGGCUCAACCCCGGGACUGCAUUUGGAACUGCUGAGCUAGAGUGUCGGAGAGGCAAGUGGAAUUCCUAGUGUAGCGGUGAAAUGCGUAGAUAUUAGGAGGAACACCAGUGGCGAAGGCGGCUUGCUGGACGAUGACUGACGUUGAGGCUCGAAAGCGUGGGGAGCAAACAG
rnacentral:rRNA from 1 species